rnacentral:rRNA from 1 species
ACGGGAGGCAGCAGUGGGGAGUAUUGCACAAUGGGGGAAACCCUGAUGCAGCGACGCCGCGUGAGUGAUGAAGUAUUUCGGUAUGUAAAGCUCUAUCAGCAGGGAAGAUAAUGACGGUACCUGACUAAGAAGCACCGGCUAAAUACGUGCCAGCAGCCGCGGUAAUACGUAUGGUGCAAGCGUUAUCCGGAUUUACUGGGUGUAAAGGGUGCGUAGGCGGUAUGGCAAGUCAGAAGUGAAAACUGGGGGCUCAACCCCCAGACUGCUUUUGAAACUGUCAAACUAGAGUACAGGAGAGGCAAGCGGAAUUCCUAGUGUAGCGGUGAAAUGCGUAGAUAUUAGGAGGAACACCAGUGGCGAAGGCGGCUUGCUGGACUGUAACUGACGCUGAGGCACGAAAGCGUGGGGAGCAAACAGGAUUAGAUACCCUGGUA